UACGGGAGGCAGCAGUGGGGAAUAUUGCACAAUGGGCGCAAGCCUGAUGCAGCCAUGCCGCGUGUAUGAAAAAGGCCUUCGGGUUGUAAAGUACUUUCAGUCGUGAGGAAGGUAUUAAGGUUAAUAACCUUAGCAAUUGACGUUAGCGACAGAAGAAGCACCGGCUAACUCCGUGCCAGCAGCCGCGGUAAUACGGAGGGUGCGAGCGUUAAUCGGAAUUACUGGGCGUAAAGGGCACGCAGGCGGUUAAUUAAGUUGGAUGUGAAUCCCCGGGCUUAACCUGGGAAUGGCAUUCAAGACUGGUUAGCUAGAGUCUUGUAGAGGGGGUAGAAUUCCAUGUGUAGCGGUGAAAUGCGUAGAGAUGUGGAGGAAUACCGGUGGCGAAGGCGGCCCCUGGACAAAGACUGACGCUCAUGUGCGAAAGCUGGGGAGCAAACAGGGAUUAGAUACC
rnacentral:rRNA from 1 species